rnacentral:rRNA from 1 species
GACGAACGCUGGCGGCGUGCUUAACACAUGCAAGUCGAACGGAAAGGCCCUGCUUUUGUGGGGUGCUCGAGUGGCGAACGGGUGAGUAACACGUGAGUAACCUGCCCUUGACUUUGGGAUAACUUCAGGAAACUGGGGCUAAUACCGGAUAGGAGCUCCUGCUGCAUGGUGGGGGUUGGAAAGUUUCGGCGGUUGGGGAUGGACUCGCGGCUUAUCAGCUUGUUGGUGGGGUAGUGGCUUACCAAGGCUUUGACGGGUAGCCGGCCUGAGAGGGUGACCGGCCACAUUGGGACUGGGAUACGGCCCAGACUCAUACGGGAGGCAGCAGUGGGGAAUAUUGCACAAUGGGCGGAAGCCGGAUGCAGCAACGCCGCGUGCGGGAUGACGGCCUUCGGGUUGUAAACCGCUUUCGCCUGUGACGAAGCGUGAGUGACGGUAAUGGGUAAAGAAGCACCGGCUAACUACGU